rnacentral:tRNA from 1 species
GACCCAGUAGCUCAGCAGGAUAGAGCGACUGCCUCCUAAGCAGCAGGUCGGCCGUUCGAAUCGGCCCUGGGCCA